rnacentral:rRNA from 1 species
AGUGAACGCUGGCGGCAGGCCUAACACAUGCAAGUCGAGCGGCAGCGCGGUGUAGCAAUACACUGGCGGCGAGCGGCGGACGGGUGAGGAAUGCGUCGGAAUCUGCCUCUUUGUGGGGGAUAACGUAGGGAAACUUACGCUAAUACCGCAUACGACCUACGGGUGAAAGUGGGGGACCUUCGGGCCUCACGCAGAGAGAUGAGCCGACGCCGGAUUAGCUAGUUGGCGGGGUAAAGGCCCACCAAGGCGACGAUCCGUAGCUGGUCUGAGAGGAUGAUCAGCCACACUGGAACUGAGACACGGUCCAGACUCCUACGGGAGGCAGCAGUGGGGAAUAUUGGACAAUGGGCGCAAGCCUGAUCCAGCCAUGCCGCGUGUGUGAAGAAGGCCUUCGGGUUGUAAAGCACUUUUGUCCGGAAAGAAAAGCAUUCGGUUAAUAACCGGGUGUCAUGACGGUACCGGAAGAAUAAGCACCGGCUAACUUCGUGCCAGCCGCCGCAGUAAGAC